GGCUGAGCUGGACUGGUUUGAGCACGGCCAAACUGGACUGCAAUAAAUGGGCUGGGGUGGCCUUGCUGAGCUGAGCUAAGCAGGGCUAAGCUGCCUGGUCUGAAGUAGACUGAGCUGACUUUGGCUUGGAUGGGCUGAGCUGGCUGUGUUGGUCUGAAUUGAGCUGAACUGAGCUGGGCAGAGAUGACCUGGACUGAGAUCCCGUGAACACUAGACCCAUCCUCAUCCCACUACCCUGCCCCAUACUUGGACCCGGAGAGCCCGUGGUCAUCGGCUGCCUGAUCCGGGGCUUCUUCCCCCUGGGCCCUCUGAGUGUGACAUGGAACACCAGCGGGGAGAACCUGACCUUCCCACCUGUCCAGUCUGCCACCUCGAGCCUGUACACCACGUGCAGCCUGCUGAGGCUACCAGCUGAGCAGUGUCCUGAAGAAAAUAGUGUGGCCUGCCAUGUGGAGCACAACUACGACAAGGGCCAGGAUGUGACCGUGCCCAGCCCCCCAGAAUGCCAACCGCCAACUCCAGGUCCUUCAGAUACAACCACCUGCCCCUGUCCCUGCCCUUCCCCAUCCUGUGGGGAGCCCAGCCUGUCCCUGCAGCGGCCAGACCUCAGGGACCUGCUCCUGAACUCGAACGCCAGCCUCACCUGCACCCUGAGAGGCCUGAAGAACCCCGAGGGCGCCGUCUUCACCUGGGAGCCCACAAACGGGAACAAACCCGUCCAGCAGAGCGUCCAGAGUUACCCGUGCGGCUGCUACAGUGUGUCCAGCGUGCUGCCCGGCUGUGCGGAGCCCUGGAAUGCGGGGACAGA